UGCGUCGUAGUCCGGAUUGGAGUCUGCAACUCGACUCCAUGAAGUCGGAAUCGCUAGUAAUCGUGGAUCAGAAUGCCACGGUGAAUACGUUCCCGGGCCUUGUACACACCGCCCGUCACACCAUGGGAGUGGGUUGCAAAAGAAGUAGGUAGCUUAACCYUCGGGAGGGCGCUUACCACUUUGUGAUUCAUGACUGGGGUGAAGUCGUAACAAGGUAACCGUAGGGGAACCUGCGGUUGGAUCACCUCCUUA
rnacentral:rRNA from 1 species